UACGUAGGGUGCAAGCGUUGUCCGGAAUUAUUGGGCGUAAAGAGCUCGUAGGCGGUCUGUCGCGUCUGCUGUGAAAACUCGGGGCUUAACCCCGGGCCUGCAGUGGGUACGGGCAGACUAGAGUGCGGUAGGGGAGACUGGAAUUCCUGGUGUAGCGGUGAAAUGCGCAGAUAUCAGGAGGAACACCGGUGGCGAGGGCGGGUCUCUGGGCAACAACUGACGCUGAGGAGCGAAAGCGUGGGGAGCGAACAGG
rnacentral:rRNA from 1 species